CGUUUGGAAGUGCUGCCUGGAUGGUUACAGAGAAAACUGCUGGUGAUCCAAACAAGAAGAGAGAGCAGAUGAUUUGACUGACUGACUGGACAAACAGGUAUUGCUGUUUUUGGUCUAUUUUGGAGAAACAUUUGAGAAGCAGGCAACAGUCUCUGAUCUUCAUAACUGCAAAGCUGACAUUUCUGCAGGUCAUUGCAGUCAGAGGUUUAGAAGUUAGAAGUUUCCUGAACGCAAGGCCCUUUGCAUCUUUGAGCAAAUUGGAGUACUUGGAUGUUUGCUGCAGAUUAUACUUACAGUUUAUUCUGAUUUGAGAUAGAUCUCUGCAUCUCUGCAAACGGGCGGCUGUGCCAAAUGGAGGAUUAAGGAGUAGCUUAGAGUGAAGUUGAGCAGAAAGAGUUGCGGUUGCCUGAUGGGGAGUUUUAAUUGCCUGCUUUUUUUUUCUCUGUCUGUAACCUUUCAUCGCUCUAAUUAGUCAACAGGUUCAAUCUCAUACUUGCUGUAAUCACCCUUAAAGCCUGUCUCUGCCCACUCUUUUAACACUGUGAUGUAACAGACAGCAAGUUAGAAAGGGGACUCGGGGCUACACGUGAUGUGUGUUGGUGUGUGUGGGUAAAUCUGGCCAAAUUUAGAUUGACCACAUAUAACUCAUCCAAGUUUUAAAAGUUUGUGCGGUUUUAAUAUGCCACAUUUCAAGUUAUGGUAUUUGGGGGGUACAAGUAUCCAUGUACUUUAGCCAAUUGGAAAUUAUAUAAAAUAAAAUAAAAAAAGUUCUGUUCUA